UGAGACACGGUUCAAACAUCAUUUGAUGGCAGCAGUAGGGAAUUUUGGACAAUGGGCGAAAGCUUGAUCCAGCAAGAUAACGUGAAAGAAGAAGGUUAUUUUGAUCGUAAAUUUCUUUAAUGAUGUUUUAGAUUAUGACAUGACAUCAUCAAAAAGUACUGGCAAAUCCUGUGCCAGCAGCCGCGGUAAUACAGGGAGUGCAGACGUUAUUCGGAAUUAUUGGGCGUAAAGAAAAAUAAGAUGGUAGCCAAUUAAGUAUCUUUGAUCUUAAUAUAAACUUAUGAAGAAAAAUCAAAGCUCAACUUUGAUACACUUUAUAAGACUGGUUUACUUGAGUGAUGUAGAAGAGAAUGGAAUUUCUUAGCGAGAGGUAAUAUUUCAUGAACUAAGAAGGAAGGCCAAAAGCGAAGGCAAUUCUCUUGGCAUUUACUGACAUUGUAUUUUGAAGGUUUGGGGAGCAAAAAGAAUUAGAUACUCUUGUAGUCCAAACUGUCAACGAUGACUUUUAUUUGUUGCGUUUCUAAUAUCUAUUACAAAUGCAGUGAAACAGCUAACGCGUUAAAAAGUCCGCCUGAGGAGUACGGUCGCAAGAUUAAAACUCAAAAGAAGAGACGGGAGACUAUACCAGUGGUGGAACAUGCGAUUUAAUUCGAAACAACACGCAAAACCUUACCAGUUCUUGACAUAUUAUUUAAAGCAAUUUGUUACAGAAUUGUCUUUUAUAGUAAUACAGGAGUUGCAUGGCUGUUGGAAGUUCGUGCUGUGAAGUGUUGAAUUAAUUUUCUUAACGAACGAAACUCUCACUCUUUGGUUAUCAAAAAAGACAAUUGUCUUUUUACCCUUAGAGAACUCCCGCUGAUAAAGCGAUGAAGAGGAGAA
rnacentral:rRNA from 1 species